GAGACGUCCCCAACAGCGACUUAUCUGCUGGCUGUCUUUCAGUUGGAUAAAAUGACCCACCCGACGGAUCUUCUAUCUCAUCCUCGGGCAGAAAGUUGUCAGUGCCUCCACACCCAGGAGAGCGGUGAUGCUGGUCUCUCGUCCAACAUGGAGCACAAAUUCAGCGAUAAUUACACCAUACGUGCUACCUCUGUACGAGAUAAAGGCAGCAACGUGAAACCGAUUCCUAAGGGGGAACAAGACAUCUUUCACUGCACUGAGGGGAAGGGAAAAGUCUGGUCCCACCCAUCAGUGUCCUGGUAUGUAGUUGGUCCAAAAUUUGAAUCACCCAAUAUAACGGCCGAGGAGGGAUUCUUAAAAUCAUCAACUGCAGCUGCGACACAAGAGAUCUCGCCCCCACCAGCCCCACCAACACAAAACAACCCAGAGAAGGAAACUGACGAGGUCAAUCCUGACACAACUGCCUUGCCACGUGAUGAGCUAGUAGGAGACGUUAGAUGCACCACGGACGCCGUCAUCUACACACGGGGAAAACCAGAAAAACCAAAAGCUUUGCGACAGCUUCCAAGAGAGAGGAGAAGAAGCAACCGUCACCGGAAGAGACCGGCUGGGAGGAACCGGAAAAUGAAUCUGCUGUGUUGGAUGGCAGUUUCAUUCAUAUUUGUUCCUGUCACUGAUGGCUUUCCUGGGGCUCAACGUGCUGCAGGCCAAAAGACUAAGUGUUACAUCUGCAUGGACAAGGACAGAUGCCCAAAGUUGUCGAACAUAUACGACUCUGGGAACACAUUUCUGUACGGAGCGACUUUCAAUCAGACGUUUCCAGGAUGCAGUGGAGUCACUCCACCUGGUGAGAAGAAGUGUGUUGUGUGCGAUGACCAAAACAACCUCAAAAUCAUCUGCUCAGAGGACGUUGGCCGACUGGAGGUUGAACAUAGUGAUGGAGGAACAAUUGAAGACAUCUCUCCCAACUGUGUGCAGGAGCAUUUCUAUAAUGCACAUUAUGGAUUGUUUGCUGCUGGACUAUUUCUGCUUGUGGUGGCGGCGCUGGGGAUCUUCGCUGCUGUGAGUGUGACUCAACAUGUUCACUGAUCAAACAAUGGUUGAGAAACAUAAAAAAACUAUUUCUACACGAGUCACCGAACUGACUUACAUAUAUGUCUUACAUAUCAGGUCUUUGACUUACAAUAAACUUUUUCAAAGGUACGCUUUCUGUGUUAAGAUAUUCUAUGUGUAACGCCUGAGAUCUGAGGACCGAAAUGUUUAAAACAAAGUUUAAUGCAAGUAAAACAACAGUGUGCAGUAGAGCUAGCUUUGUCCUCCUCCAGCAUACCUGUCUACAAGACACUGAAGGUGCGCCUGAGCCUUUCUUGAUUGAGUAUUUUGGAUGUGGCACUUCAAAUUUCACUCUUUAAACCUGCUUUUAAAAUUAUUUUUCUUUCAGUGCCGCUGGAGAAACAGGUAAGUUCAGUCUGGUUUACUGUUUUAGAUAGUUUAUACAUGUUUUAUAUAGAUGUUUCACUGUUUCAUAUGAAAAAAAGAAAAAUUAUAAAUACCUAUCUGAGCAGGAUUUAUACAAGGUUUUCACUCUCACUUUCUAAAUGCUGUACAUACAUUCCAACAACUUCAACGAAAGCUGGGGUCCACGUCCACCAGCAUAUGAAACAGGGAACUUCACAAUCUCCCAUAGGGCUCAAAGUAGUCAACAGUGAAGAGCACUGCAUGAUGGAGAAGAGGACAGCUGUUUGUAGAAGCCAUUUGCUCACUGUGCCAUUUUAUUUACAUCUGAUGAUUUUUAGCUUUAGCUGCAAUAUAAAUGCCAAAUAGAAUAUAGCUGUUUUAUUGUGCACUCCUUGGGAGAACUGCUGCAGGACAAGACGAAGCAAAUCUUCACAACAGAGGAGCUGAAACGAAAAGAAAAAUUUAGCCUCAUGCUUACUUGAAAAUGACUAAAUAAUUGCAGAUAAUUUAUUUGUUGAUCAGCUAAUUAAGCUUUGAGCUUUGUGGCUUAUUAUAAUGACGAUGAUGUUUUUUUUUGGAUGUUUAAUCAGCUUCCUGCAAAAAUGGCCAAAUGAGCAUGUACAGCUGCUUCCUGAAUAAAUGGCUUCAAACAGCU